GAGGGCAAAUAUUCGGAGAUGACUAUGAAAACACCUCUCUGGAUCCUCGAAUUGAAAGAGAGAUUGAGAGGGAUCAAGCGCCCUUUACCAUAA
rnacentral:rRNA from 1 species